rnacentral:rRNA from 1 species
UACGUAGGGGGCAAGCGUUGUCCGGAUUUAUUGGGCGUAAAGAGCGUGUAGGCGGCUUUGCAAGUCCGUUGUGAAAACUCGAGGCUCAACCUCGAGACGCCGGUGGAAACUGCAAAGCUAGAGUCCGGAAGAGGAGAGUGGAAUUCCUGGUGUAGCGGUGAAAUGCGCAGAUAUCAGGAAGAACACCGGUGGCGAAGGCGGGUCUCUGGGCAGUAACUGACGCUGAGGAGCGAAAGCGUGGGGAGCGAACAGG